CUUCUCCCAUGUGCUGAGGUGAAGUGGCUGCUCCUGCAGCACCUGGGGAGGAUCUGGCCUGAGACACCACUGCAGGGGGUUUUCCAUGGGUCAGUUUGCCGUUGGUCAUUUUUUGCUGGGGGUCAGUUUGCCAGGGCUUGGUUUGGGCUCAGCCAGGGGCUGGAGCGUGGCUCUGCAGUGCACAGAGCGGCUGUGGGGACACCAGGGACCGAGAGGCAGCAGGGUGAGAUCUGGGAGAAAUCCCAACUGAAAAAGGCUGAGGAAUUGGGGUGUCCCACAGGAAUGCAGAGGAGCUGGAGCCAAGCCAAAAGCCGCAGGUCCUGGUGAUGGCUGGAGCCCGGGACAGAUGUGGGGGAUUGUUGCAGUCAGCAACCUCAGGAUCUUGUCCAGGGAAGCAGCAGGAUUUUGGGGACCAGCAUCAAACACCAACGAGACGGGCCCCCGUUCAUGAAACCAUUUAUUCAGCACGAGAACAAAGUCAGGUCCAGAACAGAGAGCCCCGAACAGAGGCACAGCAGGGGUUUUUGAGGGACAGAACCCCCAAGGGUCCCCACCUUUGAGGGUGAAGCUCAGGGUCAGGAACCAUCAGAAACACAGCAAGGGAGAACCCCAGGGACUCAAACCCAAUCAGAGCACCUGGGCCGCCCUUCACAAGGGGUUUGGGGUGGGACAAUGGAACUCUUUGUCCCCCCGAGGCCGCUGCCACAGGGGAUCCUGGCCAGGGGAGCUCUGUCCCUGGGGAGACACAGCAACACCCCGAACCUCCACACGGGAAUGCCAGGGGCAGGACCGUCCCCUGCCCCUGUUCCAGGCGUGGGGUCCCGUCCCCACCGUCCCUCUGCUCUACUUGCAGGUGCCCCGCGCUGCAGGAGACCCUGGGCUCACCGGGGACAGCGUGGAGGGGUCGCCAUGGCACAGGGAGGAGAUGGAGAGAGCCCGUCUGCGGUCAGAGCAGAGACUGGAGGUGCAGGAGCAGCUGCUUGCCCUGCGGCACUGGCUGGACGCCGUAGAGAAGCGGCUGCUGGCGCUGCCAGAGCCCGGCACGGCCCUGCAGGUAACGCGUGGCCCUGGCUUGUGACUGAGCCUGCAGAGCCGGGCAGGACCAGCCCACGUCUGCACCGAGGCUGGUGAGGGCUUGGUCCUCGGAAGGGAGGAAGGAAUCCGGCCACAGCUGUCUGGGAGACCCUUCAGCACAGCCCUGCAACCAUCGGGUGUCAGGUGUGCUGCCUGCGGCUGCUGCUGCCCAGCCCGACAGCGCUGCUGGCUCGGAGCCCCGCGGAGCUCGUGGUGUCCCUGCCUUGGAGCCUUGCUGACCACAGGGCCACACCCGCACCAGCUUCGGCCACAGCUCGUGAUGCUGCUGCCCGGGCACGGAGAGAGCGGCUGAACAACAGGGGUGUGCGGCUGUGCGAGGAGAGAGCGGCUGAACAACAGGGGUGUGCGGCUGUGCCAGGGGUGUGCGGCUGUGCCAGGGGUGUGCGGCUGAACAACAGGGGUGUGCGGCUGUGCCAGGGGUGUGCGGCUGAACAACAGGGGUGUGCGGCUGUGCCAGGGGUGUGCGGCUGAACAACAGGGAUGUGCGGCUGUGUGAUGGGUGUGAGGCUGUGUGAUGGGUGUGCAGCUGUGCCAGGGGUGUGCGGCUGUGCAAUGUGUGUGCGGCUGUGCGAGGAGAGAGCGGCUGAACAA
rnacentral:lncRNA from 1 species